UACGGGGGGGGCAAGCGUUGUUCGGAAUUACUGGGCGUAAAGGGCUUGUAGGUGGCCAACUAAGUCAGACGUGAAAUCCCUCGGCUUAACCGGGGAACUGCGUCUGAUACUGGAUGGCUAGAGAUUGGGAGAGGGAUGCGGAAUUCCAGGUGUAGCGGUGAAAUGCGUAGAUAUCUGGAGGAACACCGGUGGCGAAGGCGGCAUCCUGGACCGAUACUGACGCUGAGGAGCGAAAGCCAGGGGAGCAAACGGG
rnacentral:rRNA from 1 species